rnacentral:rRNA from 1 species
AGAGUUUGAUCCUGGCUCAGAUUGAACGCUGGCGGCAGGCCUAACACAUGCAAGUCGAGCGGAUGAAGUAGCUUGCUACUGAUUCAGCGGGGACGGGUGAGUAAUGCCUAGGAAUCUGCUGGUAGUGGGGGACAACGUUUCGAAGGAACGCUAAUACCGCAUACGUCCUACGGGAGAAAGUGGGGGACCCUCGGGCCUCACGCUAUCAGAUGAGCCUAGGUCGGAUUAGCUAGUUGGUGGGGUAAUGGCUCACCAAGGCGACGAUCCGUAACUGGUCGAGAGGAUGAUCAGUCACACUGGAACUGAGACACGGUCCAGACUCCUACGGGAGGCAGCAGUGGGGAAUAUUGGACAAUGGGAAAGCCUGAUCCAGCCAUGCCGCGUGUGUGAAGAAGGUCUUCGGAUUGUAAAGCACUUUAAGUUGGGAGGAGGGUCGUAACCUAAUACGUUGCG